CGCGUAGGCGGAUCGUUAAGUCAGAGGUGAAAUCCCGGAGCUCAACUUCGGAACUGCCUUUGAUACUGGCGAUCUUGAGUGUGAGAGAGGUAUGUGGAACUCCGAGUGUAGAGGUGAAAUUCGUAGAUAUUCGGAAGAACAUCAGUGGCGAAGGCGACAUACUGGCUCAUUACUGACGCUGAGGCGCGAAAGCGUGGGAGCAAACA
rnacentral:rRNA from 1 species